rnacentral:rRNA from 1 species
UGGGGAAUUUUGGACAAUGGGCGCAAGCCUGAUCCAGCCAUGCCGCGUGCGGGAAGAAGGCCUUCGGGUUGUAAACCGCUUUUGUCAGGGAAGAAACGCUCUGGGCUAAUACCCUGGGGUAAUGACGGUACCUGAAGAAUAAGCGCCGGCUAACUACGUGCCAGCAGCCGCGGUAAUACGUAGGGUGCAAGCGUUAAUCGGAAUUACUGGGCGUAAAGCGUGCGCAGGCGGUUAUGCAAGACAGAUGUGAAAUCCCCGGGCUCAACCUGGGAACUGCAUUUGUGACUGUAUAGCUAGAGUACGGUAGAGGGGGAUGGAAUUCCGCGUGUAGCAGUGAAAUGCGUAGAUAUGCGGAGGAACACCGAUGGCGAAGGCAAUCCCCUGGACCUGUACUGACGCUCAUGCACGAAAGCGUGGGGAGCAAACAGGAUUAGAUACCCCCGUAGUCCCUGAGCGGGCUGGCAAGGCGCAU